rnacentral:rRNA from 1 species
CCUACGGGUGGCAGUAGUGAGGAACAUUGGUCAAUGGACGAGAGUCUGAACCAGCCAAGUAGCGUGAAGGAUGACUGCCCUAUGGGUUGUAAACUUCUUUUAUAUGGGAAUAAAAUGUUCCACGUGUGGGAUUUUGUAUGUACCAUAUGAAUAAGGAUCGGCUAACUCCGUGCCAGCAGCCGCGGUAAUACGGAGGAUCCGAGCGUUAUCCGGAUUUAUUGGGUUUAAAGGGAGCGUAGGUGGAUUGUUAAGUCAGUUGUGAAAGUUUGCGGCUCAACCGUAAAAUUGCAGUUGAAACUGGCAGUCUUGAGUACAGUAGAGGUGGGCGGAAUUCGUGGUGUAGCGGUGAAAUGCUUAGAUAUCACGAAGAACUCCGAUUGCGAAGGCAGUUCACUGGACUGCAACUGACACUGAGGCUCGAAAGUGUGGGUAUCAAACAGGAUUAGAUACCCCUGUAGUC